GGCGAACGCUGGCGGCAGGCCUAACACAUGCAAGUCGAACGAACCUUUCGGGGUUAGUGGCGGACGGGUGAGUAACACGUGGGAACGUGCCUUUAGGUUCGGAAUAACUCAGGGAAACUUGUGCUAAUACCGAAUGUGCUCUUCGGGGGAAAGAUUUAUCGCCUUUAGAGCGGCCCGCGUCUGAUUAGCUAGUUGGUUGAGGUAAUGGCUCACCAAGGCGACGAUCAGUAGCUGGUCUGAGAGGAUGAUCAGCCACAUUCGGACUGAGACACGGCCCAAACUCCUACGGGAGGCAGCAGUGGGGAAUCUUGCGCAAUGGGCGAAAGCCUGACGCAGCCAUGCCGCGUGAAUGAUGAAGGUCUUAGGAUUGUAAAAUUCUUUCACCGGGGACGAUAAUGACGGUACCCGGAGAAGAAGCCCCGGCUAACUUCGUG
rnacentral:rRNA from 1 species